CCGGUGGCAAAGGUUCGAAUCCUACAUGUGACAGUUGCUGCCCAUCUUCCCUGCUUGCAUGAUUUCCUCACCGAAGACACUAGAUACAAACUAUUACUGAAGGCCACCCAGUUUUCUCGACAAUCUGUUUAAGAAAAACACAAGGAGUGUAGAAAAAACACAAUUAUGAGUCCAAUCAGGAGGAAAAGACACAGCAGACCCAGAAGAAUCACAGCAGCCCUGCAGUAACUCUUCU